rnacentral:rRNA from 1 species
UUUCGAAUCAUUCACAAUGGGCGAAAGCCUGAUGGUGCGACGCCGCGUGAGGGAUGAAGGCCUUCGGGUUGUAAACCUCUGUCACCGGGGAAGAAACGCUUCAAGUUAACAGCUUGAAGCCUGACUUAACCCGGAGAGGAAGCAGUGGCUAACUCUGUGCCAGCAGCCGCGGUAAUACAGAGACUGCAAGCGUUAUUCGGAUUCACUGGGCGUAAAGGGUGCGCAGGCGGCCGGGUGUGUCAGAUGUGAAAUCCCGAGGCUUAACCUCGGAACUGCGUCUGAAACUACUCGGCUAGAGUAUUGGAGAGGGUAACGGAAUUCACGGUGUAGCAGUGAAAUGCGUAGAUAUGUGGAGGAACACCGAUGGCGAAGGCAGCCCCCUGGGUUAACACUGACGCUCAUGCACGAAAGCGUGGGGAGCAAACAGGAUUAGAUACCCUAGUAGUCCCUGAGCGGGCUGGCAAGGCG